UGCUAAUGGAUUUGUGGAGGCAGCUUGUUGUAAAUAACAGUAUCAUUGCAGUUAUCUUUGAUUAUUGCUUGGGCUUAAGCAUUAUAAUCUUAGUUAAGUGUUUGUCUUUUUCUUGUGUUUUACGUGGUUACUGUCUAAGUUGAUCUAACAAGGAUAACCAAGUUGACAGUUUUUCAGGCUGGGCUAGUUAGCCAUAUUGUAUGCUGAUCCAGUUCCUGGUUCUUCGACUGGCGAACAAAUUGUUUUGGUGUGGCUCACCAGCCAGCCAACUUGAUGACGUGAGAGGAAGUGGGUGCAUUCUGGGCACAGGCUGGUACUAGAACCUCUUUGGAGCUGCUAUUCUGUGCCAAACUGCAGUUGUGGGUCAUCGGUCACUUAAGGUCAUGUGAGGAAAAACGAGAUGGUAAUCAGCAGCACUACAAUACGAAGAACAUAAUGAUAAUUGUCAAAACGAGGUCAACUGAAGUAGUCAAAAAAGGCCUAGAAGAAGAAAAGUACUGGGAUCCCUGCCUCAGAGUUGUGCCAAUCUCUACGGAAGAAGAUGGGUGUGACAAUGAAGAGAUGUUGGUUUUGUAGGGCUGCCAUGAACUGCGACCCUGAUCAUCACAAAUGUAUUUGAAAUACUUGUGUCAAGCAGGCAGAGAGCCAUUUGAAGUUCUUUCUUGAGUGUAAAAAAAUUGUUAUAAGUGAUUUACAAAAUAGAAAAUUCUGUCUAUUAA